CCUACGAGCGGCAGCAGUGGGGAAUAUUGCACAAUGGGGGAAACCCUGAUGCAGCGACGCCGCGUGAGUGAAGAAGUAUUUCGGUAUGUACAGCUCUAUCAGCAGGGAAGAAAAUGACGGUAACUGAUUAAGAAGCCCCGGCUAACUACGUGCCAGCAGCCGCGGGAAUACGUAGGGGGCAAGCGUGAUCCGGAUUUACUGGGUGUAAAGGGAGCGUAGACGGCAGCACAAGUCUGGAGUGAAAGGCCGGGGCUUAACCCCGGAACUGCUGUGGAAACUGUGCAGCUAGAGUGCAGGAGAGGUAAGUGGAAUUCCUAGUGUAGCGGUGAAAUGCGUAGAUAUUAGGAGGAACACCAGUGGCGAAGGCGGCUUACUGGACUGUAACUGACGUUGAGGCUCGAAAGCGUGGGGAGCAAACAGGAUUAGAUACCCUUGUAGUC
rnacentral:rRNA from 1 species